AGUGAACGCUGGCGGUAGGCCUAACACAUGCAAGUCGAACGGCAGCACAGUAAGAGCUUGCUCUUACGGGUGGCGAGUGGCGGACGGGUGAGGAAUACAUCGGAAUCUACUUUUUCGUGGGGGAUAACGUAGGGAAACUUACGCUAAUACCGCAUACGACCUACGGGUGAAAGCAGGGGAUCUUCGGACCUUGCGCGAUUGAAUGAGCCGAUGUCGGAUUAGCUAGUUGGCGGGGUAGAGGCCCACCAAGGCGACGAUCCGUAGCUGGUCUGAGAGGAUGAUCAACCACACUGGAACUGAGACACGGUCCAGACUCCUACGGGAGGCAGCAGUGGGGAAUAUUGGACAAUGGGCGCAAGCCUGAUCCAGCCAUACCGCGUGGGUGAAGAAGGCCUUCGGGUUGUAAAGCCCUUUUGUUGGGAAAGAAAAGCAGCAGGUUAAUACCCCGCUGUUCUGACGGUACCCAAAGAAUAAGCACCGGCUAACUUCGUG
rnacentral:rRNA from 1 species